CAGCGUUUGCACCGUAUGGAAACCCUCACAACAACAAUGGAGGACUUCAUUGGAGUGGUGUUCAUGGCUUUGCUAGUGUGCCUUGCCAUCGCUGAACAGCAAAACCUUCUGUUAGGGGUUAACCAUCGGCGUCGCCGUUCCAAUGCCCGGCGAUCACGUUUGAGAAGAAAGGUUUCCCAGAGACUAUGGGUUGAGGAGGAAUUGGAAGUUUGUCGGCUUAGACCUGGUGUCAUUCCAUCAGUGUUAAACUUCCCGGCUCAUCUUGGAAGAGUACGUGCCAGAAAGACCACGACCAAGCAGCCUUGAGAUCUUAGGCAGCGUCUCCCUGAGGUCCCUCUCUAUCUCCCCACACAUCCACCAACCACUGGAACACAUCUCCAAAGUUCUGCAGGGCCAGCUCAGCUUCCCCUCAGAAGAAGUGCCACCACCUGCCAGAUGAAGGAGCCUUUUGAGAGGCAGCUGGCAUCGUGAUUGGACUGUACUUUGGUCUGUUCCAAUCCAGCUUCAGCUCCAGAGACGGCAGGCGGGACGAGUCAACGGAGGCCGAGUGGAUGAAGGCAUGCAGCUGAGUACAAUCCAGAAAAGAACAGAGGAGGAGUGCAGUGGCCCAGGGCCAGAACAAACAGAGUAGCAUCGUAUGUCUCUUAGAAAACAUCAUAGUAUAGCCUUUGGUAUGAAAAAACGCCAUCAUAUACAUCGUAUAUUGUACAAAUAACAAGUCAAAGGAAAGAGACAUACAUUGUAGAAUUGUAGUAAUUGUGGGCUGACUGGCCUUGGCAAUGGUCGUCGGAAUGUGAAUAACACUGACCACACCUCACAGAGGUUAUAAGCUGAGGCAACAUCAUCCACCACCAGAACUGAAGAAACCUCUUGGAUGAGAGGUGCAACAUCUUCAAGGAACCUUCUUAAAGUCCAGUUGGAUUGAUUUAAACAACUUUGGAUGACUGAUUUACUGAUUAUCAGUAUUUUAUUUUUUACUGAUUGACGGUAAUAAAUACAUUUAAAAAUGGUGCUACUUUGGCUCUGAACCUUUAUCUACCUGUGGUCGCUCUGUCUUCUGGAGUGAUUUGAUUGGUUAUACGUCACGAAUAAAACUCCUUUAACUUAACAACUGUAAACAAAACAAAAACGUAUCAACAAAUUUUUCUGUUAGAGUUUGUGUUCUUCUAAGUUUAACUCCAAGAUUUUAAAUACUUUCAUUUACUG
ensembl:lncRNA